rnacentral:rRNA from 1 species
CAAUGGGCGCAAGCCUGAUGGAGCAACACCGCGUGAGUGAAGAAGGGUUUCGGCUCGUAAAGCUCUGUUGUUGGAGAAGAACGUGCGUGAGAGUAACUGUUCACGCAGUGACGGUAUCCAACCAGAAAGUCACGGCUAACUACGUGCCAGCAGCCGCGGUAAUACGUAGGUGGCAAGCGUUAUCCGGAUUUAUUGGGCGUAAAGCGAGCGCAGGCGGUUGCUUAGGUCUGAUGUGAAAGCCUUCGGCUUAACCGAAGAAGUGCAUCGGAAACCGGGCGACUUGAGUGCAGAAGAGGACAGUGGAACUCCAUGUGUAGCGGUGGAAUGCGUAGAUAUAUGGAAGAACACCAGUGGCGAAGGCGGCUGUCUGGUCUGCAACUGACGCUGAGGCUCGAAAGCAUGGGUAGCGAACAGGAUUAGAUACCCUGGUAGUCCAUGCCGUAAACGAUGAGUGCUAGGUGUUGGAGGGUUUCCGCCCUUCAGUGCCGGAGCUAACGCAUUAAGCACUCCGCCUGGGGAGUACGACCGCAAGGUUGAAACUCAAAGGAAUUGACGGGGGCCCGCACAAGCGGUGGAGCAUGUGGUUUAAUUCGAAGCUACGCGAAGAACCUUACCAGGUCUUGACAUCUUGCGCUAACCUAAGAGAUUAGGCGUUCCCUUCGGGGACGCAAUGACAGGUGGUGCAUGGUCGUCGUCAGCUCGUGUCGUGAGAUGUUGGGUUAAGUCCCGCAACGAGCGCAACCCUUGUUACUAGUUGCCAGCAUUUAGUUGGGCACUCUAGUGAGACUGCCGGUGACAAACCGGAGGAAGGUGGGGACGACGUCAGAUCAUCAUGCCCCUUAUGACCUGGGCUACACACGUGCUACAAUGGACGGUACAACGAGUUGCGAACUCGCGAGAGCAAGCUAAUCUCUUAAAGCCGUUCUCAGUUCGGACUGUAGGCUGCAACUCGCCUACACGAAGUCGGAAUCGCUAGUAAUCGCGGAUCAGCAUGCCGCGGUGAAUACGUUCCCGGGCCU